rnacentral:rRNA from 1 species
CCUACGGGAGGCAGCAGUGAGGAAUAUUGGUCAAUGGACGAGAGUCUGAACCAGCCAAGUAGCGUGAAGGAUGACUGCCCUAUGGGUUGUAAACUUCUUUUAUAUGGGAAUAAAAUGUUCCACGUGUGGGAUUUUGUAUGUACCAUAUGAAUAAGGAUCGGCUAACUCCGUGCCAGCAGCCGCGGUAAUACGGAGGAUCCGAGCGUUAUCCGGAUUUAUUGGGUUUAAGGGGAGCGUAGGUGGAUUGUUAAGUCAGUUGUGAAAGUUUGCGGCUCAACCGUAAAAUUGCAGUUGAAACUGGCAGUCGUGAGUACAGUAGAGGUGGGCGGAAUUCGUGGUGUAGCGGUGAAAUGCUUAGAUAUCACGAAGAACGCCGGUUGCGAGGGCGGUUCACUGGACUGCAACUGACGCUGAGGCGCGAAAGUGUGGGUAUCAAACAGGAGUAGAUACCCGGGUAGUG